rnacentral:sRNA from 1 species
GUCGGUGGCUGCUGGGCUGGCGGGGCGCAGGCCGCGGGACCCGAGCCCGGGGGAGCGAGAGAGCGGAGGCGCCGAGGAUCCGAUUCAUUCGCUGGGGAGACCUAUGGGCCGAAGCCGUGUAGAUGCGUUUUAAGCAGGGGCCUCGGCUCCGCAACUGCCACUCCUCCUCGGGGUGUUGCACAAGUUUCGAGGUCACCGGCGACCCCCCCUAGCAGCGCUCCUGGCUCUGGCCCCCGCGAAGGAGGACGGAGUUUGGACGAGGUAGCUGCCUUCUUCGUGGCUGACCUGGGUGCCAUAGUGAGGAAGCACUUUUGCUUUCUGAAGUGCCUGCCACGAGUCCAGCCCUUUUACACUGUCAAGUGCAACAGCAGCCCAGGUGUGCUAAAGGUUCUGGCCCAGCUGGGGCUGGGCUUUAGCUGUGCCAACAAG